GAUGAAAACGCAGCGAAAUGCGAUACUUGGUGUGAAUUGCAGAAUCCCGUGAACCAUCGAGUCUUUGAACGCAAGUUGCGCCCGAAGCCAUUAGGCCGAGGGCACGCCUGCCUGGGCGUCACACGUCGUUGCCCCCCCAUCUACUCCUUCGGGAUUGCGGGGGGCGGAUGAUGGCCUCCCGUGCGCCUCGCCGCGCGGUUGGCAUAAAUGCCAAGUCCUCGGCGACGCACGCCACGACAAUCGGUGGUUGCGAAACCUCGGUUGCCCGUCGUGUGCGGUCGUCGCGCAUCGAGGGCUCGAAAAAAUUGCCGGGUUCCGGCUCGGCUUUCAACGCGACCCCAGGUCAGGCGGGGUUACCCGCUGAAUUUAAGCAUAUCAAUAAGCGGAGGA
rnacentral:misc_RNA from 1 species